GAUGAACGCUGGCUUCGUGCCUAAUACAUGCAAGUCGAGCGAACGGACGAGAAGCUUGCUUCUCUGAUGUUAGCGGCGGACGGGUGAGUAACACGUGGAUAACCUACCUAUAAGACUGGGAUAACUUCGGGAAACCGGAGCUAAUACCGGAUAAUAUUUUGAACCGCAUGGUUCAAAAGUGAAAGACGGUCUUGCUGUCACUUAUAGAUGGAUCCGCGCUGCAUUAGCUAGUUGGUAAGGUAACGGCUUACCAAGGCAACGAUGCGUAGCCGACCUAAGAGGGUGAUCGGCCACACUGGAACUGAGACACGGUCCAGACUCCUACGGGAGGCAGCAGUAGGGAAUCUUCCGCAAUGGGCGAAAGCCUGACGGAGCAACGCCGCGUGAGUGAUGAAGGUCUUCGGAUCGUAAAACUCUGUUAUUAGGGAAGAACAUAUGUGUAAGUAACUGUGCACAUCUUGACGGUACCUAAUCAGAAAGCCACGGCUAACUACGUGCCAGCAGCCGCGGUAAUACGUAUGUGGCAAGCGUUAUCCGGAAUUAUUGGGUGUAAAGCGCGCGUAGGCGGUUUUUUUGUCUGAUGUGAAAGCCCACGGCUCAACCGUGGAGGGUCAUUGGAAACUGGAAAACUUGAGUGCAGAAGAGGAAAGUGGAAUUCCAUGUGUAGCGGUGAAAUGCGCAGAGAUAUGGAGGAGCACCAGUGGCGAAGGCGACUUUCUGGUCUGUAACUGACGCUGAUGUGCGAAAGCGUGGGGAUCAAACAGGAUUAGAUACCCUGGUAGUCCACGCCGUAAACGAUGAGUGCUAAGUGUUAGGGGGUUUCCGCCCCUUAGUGCUGCAGCUAACGCAUUAAGCACUCCGCCUGGGGAGUACGACCGCAAGGUUGAAACUCAAAGGAAUUGACGGGGACCCGCACAAGCGGUGGAGCAUGUGGUUUAAUUCGAAGCAACGCGAAGAACCUUACCAAAUCUUGACAUCCUUUGACAACUCUAGAGAUAGAGCCUUCCUCUUCGGGGGACAAAGUGACAGGUGGUGCAUGGUUGUCGUCAGCUCGUGUCGUGAGAUGUUGGGUUAAGUCCCGCAACGAGCGCAACCCUUAAGCUUAGUUGCCAUCAUUAAGUUGGGCACUCUAAGUUGACUGCCGGUGACAAACCGGAGGAAGGUGGGGAUGACGUCAAAUCAUCAUGCCCCUUAUGAUUUGGGCUACACACGUGCUACAAUGGACAAUACAAAGGGCAGCGAAACCGCGAGGUCAAGCAAAUCCCAUAAAGUUGUUCUCAGUUCGGAUUGUAGUCUGCAACUCGACUACAUGAAGCUGGAAUCGCUAGUAAUCGUAGAUCAGCAUGCAACGGUGAAUACGUUCCCGGGUCU
rnacentral:rRNA from 1 species